rnacentral:rRNA from 1 species
GAUGAACGCUGGCGGCGUGCCUAAUACAUGCAAGUCGAGCGAACAGACGAGGAGCUUGCUCCUCUGACGUUAGCGGCGGACGUGUGAGUAACACGUGGAUAACCUACCUAUAAGACUGGGAUAACUUCGGGAAACCGGAGCUAAUACCGGAUAAUCUAUUGAUCCGCAUGGUUCAAUAGUGAAAGACGGUUUUGCUGUCACUUAUAGAUGGAUCCGCGCCUCAUUAGCUAGUUGGUAAGGUAACGGCUUACCAAGGCUACGAUGCGUAGCCGACCUGAGAGGGUGAUCGGCCACACUAGAACUGAGACACGGUCCAGACGCCUACGGGAGGCAGCAGAAGGGAAUCUUCCGCAAUGGGCGAAAGCAUGACGGAGCAAAGCCGCGUGAGUGAUGAAGGUCUUCGGAUCGUAAAACUGUGUUAUUAGGGAAGAACAAAUGUGUAAGUAACUAUGCACGGCGUGACGGUACCUAAUCAGAAAGCAACGGCUAACUACGUG